UUGGGUGCUAUAGGGACGAGGAUUGAUCGGCGACGACUGGGGGUUGGUUGCCUCGUGCCAUCGUCAAGAGUUGUUUCGUGAUGUAUGAGUGGUCAACCGAUGAGGAGUCUUCAGUGAUAACUUGCGGGGAUCAUCGAGUAGCCAUCGACGGGCAAGGCUUUAGUCGGAUGGUUGUGGAGGACUAAUUGACGAAAGACAACAACUGACC
rnacentral:lncRNA from 1 species